UACGAAGGGUGCUAGCGUUGUUCGGAAUCACUGGGCGUAAAGCGCGCGCAGGCGGUUUUGUAAGCCAGAUGUGAAAUCCCCGGGCUUAACCUGGGAAUGGCAUUUGGGACUGCAAGGCUGGAGUGUGGCAGAGGAGACUGGAAUUCCUGGUGUAGCAGUGAAAUGCGUAGAUAUCAGGAGGAAUACCGAUGGCGAAGGCAGGUCUCUGGGCUGACACUGACGCUCAUGCACGAAAGCGUGGGGAGCAAACAGG
rnacentral:rRNA from 1 species